CUUGACCAAAAUAAUCAUAGAACACCUCAGAGUUCAACUGUCAACUCUGAUCAGGUUGUCCACAUUGUAUUUCAAAAUAUCAAAUCUAUCUGAUGAAUUAUCCCGGUCAAGAUUUUGCUAAAUUAAAAUACAGUGACUCAUUCUUCUCCAACUCUUAGAGUGGUCAAUCCCAUCUCGAUCACACUCUGACUUCGCAAGUACUUGACUAUGUGCAAAAGCCUUCCGUCACUAAAUUAGAAAUUCAGUUAGUUCAGUACCAAAGCAUAGUGAGUUACUUACAAGUCACGGAGGCGAUCUUAGGUCUAAGGGAUACUUAUACCUAUAUCCUAUCAGAGACAUUCUCGAUAGCAGAAUACUCUAGAGUUGGUCACUUUCAAUGAUGAUGUAUCCUUAUAUCUCACCUGUAUGCCAUACCAGUGUCUCC
rnacentral:lncRNA from 1 species